rnacentral:rRNA from 1 species
GGCAUGCCUUACACAUGCAAGUCGAACGGUAACGCAGGGGCAAGCCUGGCGACGAGUGGCGAACGGGUGAGUAAUGCAUCGGAACGUGCCCAGUAGUGGGGGAUAGCCCGGCGAAAGAUCCGGAUUAAUACCGCAUACGACCUACGCGUGAUGAAAGGGGGGGAUCGCAAGACCUCUCGCUAUUGGAGCGGCCGAUGUCAGAUUAGGUAGUUGGUGGGGUAAAGGCCUACCAAGCCUACGAUCUGUAGCUGGUCUGAGAGGACGACCAGCCACACUGGGACUGAGACACGGCCCAGACUCCUACGGGAGGCAGCAGUGGGGAAUUUUGGACAAUGGGCGCAAGCCUGAUCCAGCCAUGCCGCGUGCGGGAAGAAGGCCUUCGGGUUGUAAACCGCUUUUGUCAGGGAAGAAACGCUCUGGGAUAAUACCCUGGGGUAAUGACGGUACCUGAAGAAUAAGCACCGGCUAACUACGUGCCAGCAGCCGCGGUAAUACGUAGGGUGCAAGCGUUAAUCGGAAUUACUGGGCGUAAAGCGUGCGCAGGCGGUUUUGUAAGACAGAGGUGAAAUCCCCGGGCUCAACCUGGGAACUGCCUUUGUGACUGCAAAGCUGGAGUGCGGCAGAGGGGGAUGGAAUUCCGCGUGUAGCAGUGAAAUGCGUAGAUAUGCGGAGGAACACCAAUGGCGAAGGCAAUCCCCUGGGCCUGCACUGACGCUCAUGCACGAAAGCGUGGGGAGCAAACA